rnacentral:rRNA from 1 species
GAUGAACGCUAGCGGCAGGCUUAACACAUGCAAGUCGAGGGGCAGCACGUCUUCGGAUGGUGGCGACCGGCACACGGGUGAGUAACGCGUAUGCAAUCUACCUUUUACAGGGGCAUAGCCCGGGGAAACCCGGAUUAAUAUCCUAUAGUACCAUUAUAUAGCAUUAUAUUAUGGUUAAAGUUUCGGCGGUAAAAGAUGAGCAUGCGUCCUAUUAGCUUGAUGGUAAGGUAACGGCUUACCAUGGCUAUGAUAGGUAGGGGUCCUGAGAGGGAGACCCCCCACACUGGUACUGAGACACGGACCAGACUCCUACGGGAGGCAGCAGUGAGGAAUAUUGGACAAUGGGCGCAAGCCUGAUCCAGCCAUGCCGCGUGCAGGAAGACGGCCCUAUGGGUUGUAAACUGCUUUUAUACGGGAAGAAACACCCCUUCGUGAAGGGACUUGACGGUACCGUAUGAAUAAGGAUCGGCUAACUCCGUGCCAGCAGCCGCGGUAAUACGGAGGAUACC